GCCAGCAGCUAUAUCAACGCAACGCACAACUGGCAACCCACUGAAGGUAAGCAGGUGUGAGCCUGGCCAGUACUUGAAAGGGAGACCUCCUGGGAAGAACUAAGGUUGCUGCUGAAA
rnacentral:rRNA from 1 species